AGAUGAAAUCAGGAGAUGUCCUUACUGAAUCAUCAGAGCUGAACUGGUGAUGGAGAAACAGGUUUACACUUUAGGUGACAUGAAUGAGUUGAAGGGAAGUUAUGAACUGUUUCUGAGAGAAAUAAACACCAAGCUCCUUUUUUUAUUUAGCUGACAGCUGGUAACUGUGCAGGGGCGGAUCUAGCAAAGCUUUUGCCAGGGGGCCAGGUAGGGCAUUAACAGAGAAAGGUGGACACAAAGAUAUACUUUUCUUUCUUACUCUCAUACAGGGAGUGCAGAAUUAUUAGGCAAGUUGUAUUUUUGAGGAAUAAUUUUAUUAUUGAACAACAACCAUGUUCUCAAUGAACCCAAAAACACAUUAAUAUCAAAGCUGAAU
ensembl:lncRNA